AUCAAGAUUCACAAUGAUUUUUGAGAGUUCAUGUUUUUUUUUGAAGCUGGUUUGAUUGAGAAUCUUGAUGAUGCUGCAUUAGCAAUAGCUUCAAUGGCUAUAUAUAUAUAUGUAUAUAUCUUGGGAUCUCAACAAUCUCAUACUCACAAAGGCAAGAUUUUGACUUCCUGAGAUUCAAUCCAACAAAAGCUGGUCAAUCUCAAAGAUCUUAUCCCGGAGACAAAGGGUCAAACAGGAGACCUUUCAGUGUUGUCAAAACAACAAUUUAAGGCAAAUUCGAGAGAAAAUUUCUAAAUCUCAACUGGGUUGUCUUUUUUUGUUUUUCAUUGUUUCAUUUCUUCUCGGUUACUUAGGUUGAACAGGAGUUGUUUCAGUUACUCGUGAAUUUUCAAGCCACUCGAUUCAUGUUGUAGGCAAGAUUUUGACUCCUUGAGAUUCAAUCGAUCGAGUACAAACAAAAGCUGGUCAAUCUCAAAUAUCUUAUCCUGGAGACAAAGGGUCGAACAGGAGACCUUUCAGUGCUAUCAAAACAACAAUUUAGGCAAAUUCGAGAGAAAUUUUCUAAAUCUCAACUGGGUUUUCUUUUUUUCAUCGUUUCAUUUCAUCCCAGUUACUCGUAGUUUGUAAGCACGCUUCCAAGUCUCUGAAUUUCAAUCAACCGAAUGUCUACAAAUGUCGAUCAACCUCAAAGAUCUUAUCAGCUGACAAACCAGAGACAGUAGAUAGAACAAGAGCAAGACGGGAUUCAUCGAAAACAUAAUCGAAAACAAAAGGGUUUUUUGUUUCUCUCUCUCUCUUUGUUGUUUUUGUGGGUCUAGAGAGAGAGAUUGAAUGAGUGAUAUGAAUCUUCUCGUACAAUUUUAGGGUUUGAAUGUUGCAGAUAAUUGAUUGAGGAUUGGCAAUUGGAAGAGAUAGGGCAAACGACACACGAGUUCAAGGCUGUUUUGAGUCUUCCGUACUGGUGUUGCUGUCCCACAUCGGCUGUGCCCAACAAAUUGGGUCCUCAAAAAACCCUACAUAUAAAUAUUCUAUCUGUGCCCACUUCAAAAUAACAUAUUUAUUUUCCAUCUUUAAUAA